rnacentral:lncRNA from 1 species
CCCAUGGAUGCAAAACCUAGCAUGGGGAGCAGCAAGUAGGAACCCAAAACCAAUCAUGUGCCUUCCCACCAUCAUAUUCACUUGCUCGUCAGUAUCAUCACUUGGCAGGAUGCUCCCGUGAGACGUGGCCCGUUUCUUUGCUCCCAUCGGAGCAGGCAGGCAAAAGCGCAGGACGAAGGAAGGCUCUCCAGUCUCUCUGACUUCUUCCCCCAGCAGCUGAGUUCUUGGGGAACAUGGUAAAGCAAAAUUUCCCCAAAAAUGAAAAGCACAAAGGUCUCAUGGGUUGUGGGAGCAGGAAAGAUUCAGCCUCCACUGGCGGCUCUGCAGGAAGCAGCAUGCCCAGAGGGCCCACCUGCAGAAGACACACCGGCCGGAACAAAGGACCAACUCC